rnacentral:rRNA from 1 species
GACGAACGCUGGCGGCGUGCUUAACACAUGCAAGUCGAACGGAAAGGCCCUGCUUGCAGGGUGCUCGAGUGGCGAACGGGUGAGUAACACGUGGGUGAUCUGCCCCUUACUUUGGGAUAAGCCUGGGAAACUGGGUCUAAUACUGGAUAGGACCAUGCUGUAGGUGGUGUGGUGGAAAGAUUAGUUUCGGUAAGGGAUGAGCUCGCGGCCUAUCAGCUUGUUGGUGGGGUAAUGGCCUACCAAGGCGUCGACGGGUAGCCGGCCUGAGAGGGUGGACGGCAACAUUGGGACUGAGAUACGGCCCAGACUCCUACGGGAGGCAGCAGUGGGGAAUAGUGCACAAUGGGAGCAAGCCUGAUGCAGCGACGCCGCGUGGGGGAUGACGGCCUUCGGGUUGUAAACUCCUUUCAGCCAUGACGAAGCCCUUGUGGUGACGGUAGUGGUAGAAGAAGCACCGGCUAACUACGUG